rnacentral:lncRNA from 1 species
UAACACCCUAAAAUUUGUCUUUUCGAAAUAAAGCUAAAUUAAUUCAAUUUUUGUAUGGUUGUGCUCAUGGAACAUAGGAAAAAAAUAAUAUUUUUCAUUUAAUUAAAAUUUAACAUAGGAUAUAGCAACACUUUUGUGCACUCAUGCUCCUGCAUUUCAUUUAUGUGCUGAGUGGUUUUACUAAAGUUCAAAAGUAUUUCAAAGUGAUUUUAAAAUGGAUUGAAAAUGACUUUGGAAUGAAAGAAAAGAAAAUAGAAAAAAAAAGACAAAACCCCUUCACCCUCUAGUCUGGCCCGAAGGCCCACUCCACCUUCCACCCUCGGCCCGAUACGCAGCAGGCCAGCCCAAGCCGCGCCUCCCCCUUCCCUUCUUUCCACUGCCAGCUGGGCCCCACCCGUCAGUCACCUCCCUCUUCUUCUUCCUUGGGCGUGAGCGAGCCGGACUCCUGUCCAGGCCAAAUCAGCGCCCCAAUCCCGUUUUCUCUGGGAUUUUUCCUACCUAACGCGCUCUACCGAAUCAUAUAGAAGCUUUUAACCACCCAGCGUCCUUUUCUCAUCUAUCCAUCACCGAAAGCCGCCUCUGGAGCCGAUUUUGGAUCUCGCCGAAAAGCACAGGAGCAAGCCGCCGCCGUGGAGCGCCCUAACCGCGUCGUGCCGUCGAAAUUCGAGCCCUUGCCGAGUACUGCAUCGAGAUGAAGACGCUACCGAGCCCCUCUCUAUCCUUUCUCUCGGUCUCUGUGACUCACACCGCCUCGCCGAUGUUGCAGGAAGUCCGCCGCCCGCAGUUGCACGUGGCCGACCAUCUCCUAGCCCUUCCCGUCUUCGAUUGGUGCUCCGGGUGAGUUCGCGGUACUCUCCUCUUGCUUCCCGUGCAAUCGGUUUUUCAAAUCGUGCCC